rnacentral:miRNA from 1 species
UUUGAUGACAUGACGUACGGCGGC